CCUACGGGUGGCAGCAGUGAGGAAUAUUGGUCAAUGGGCGAGAGCCUGAACCAGCCAAGUCGCGUGAGGGAGUACUGCCCUAUGGGUUGUAAACCUCUUUUGUCGGGGAGCAAAAGCCGGACGUGUCCGGCUGUGAGAGUACCCGAAGAAAAAGCAUCGGCUAACUCCGUGCCAGCAGCCGCGGUAAUACGGAGGAUGCGAGCGUUAUUGGGAUUUAUUGGGUUUAAAGGGUGCGCAGGCGGAUGGUUAAGUCAGCGGUAAAAUCGUGGGGCUCAACCCCAUCCAGCCGUUGAAACUGGGGAUCUAGAGUGUGCGAGAGGGAUGCGGAAUGCGUGGUGUAGCGGUGAAAUGCAUAGAUAUCACGCAGAACCCCGAUUGCGAAGGCAGCAUACCGGUGCACAACUGACGCUCAGGCACGAAAGCGUGGGUAUCGAACAGGAUUAGAUACCCCGGUAGUC
rnacentral:rRNA from 1 species